GGAGAUGGGUGGAUCUGUUCUGGCUGCAACGCCUGUCACCCCAUUGGCUGUCAGGGUGGAUGUGGCUGGUCCAGCUGGCUAGGCAGGUGACCCCUUCCUCCCUCACUGCUCCCUAUGCGUCCCUUCCACAGUUGCACACUGGGUUGAAGAAGACAGCCUUCCCCAAAUAGAGACGGACCAUUCUUUGGUUGAGAGUAUAUGAGUAGCUGAGCCCCACUUCUAGAAUCUCCAAACAAGCUCUCAAAAUCCUCAUAACCUAAGAAGACUCAGUGAGGAAACCUUUUUUUUUUUGGCACUUCAGAUAAAUAAUUAAAAAUUUGAAUU
rnacentral:snRNA from 1 species